GAUAAACGCUGGCCGGCGGCGACAUAAGACAGUGCAAGUCGAACGGACUUAACUCGAUUCGUUUUAGAAGUUGAGAGCGGUUAGUGGCGGACUGGUGAGUAACACGUAAGCAACCUGCCUAUCAGAGGGGAAUAACAACGAGAAAUCGUUGCUAAUACCGCAUAAGCUAGUAGCAUCGCAUGAUGUAGCUAGAAAAGGAGCAAUCCGCUGAUAGAUGGGCUUGCGUCUGAUUAGCUAGUUGGUGGGGUAACGGCCUACCAAGGCGACGAUCAGUAGCCGGACUGAGAGGUUGAACGGCCACAUUGGGACUGAGAUACGGCCCAG
rnacentral:rRNA from 1 species